rnacentral:pre_miRNA from 1 species
CAAGUACUCCCUCCAUCCGGAAUUACUUGUCAUCAAAAUGGAUGUGUCUAGAACUAAAAUACAUCUAGAUACAUCCAUUUCAAUGACAAGUAUUUUUGGACAGAAGGAGUACAAG